GGCACACGUGCGCCUCCCUUCUCAAAUAAAUGGAAAGGCUAAAUGGCCUUUCCAAAGAAGAGGCCGUGUGCCUCUACUGUUAAAAGAAAAAGAAAAAAAUGGAAAAAAGGGUCAUCUGACCCGAGAGAAAAAGAAACAGAAGGAAAUGAUUUUUCUUUCAAGAUUUUCCAUACAAAAAUCAUCAUUUACGAAGAUCCAACCGUCGAAACUCAAAUCCGAUUUCAGAAACGUGAUCUACGAAGCCAGAUCUACGUUUCUACCGAUUGGUUUGAGGAUUUGUUUUGAGGAGCUUGCUAAACACUCUCCAAGUGUUGGAUUUACAUUUGGUGAAAUUUUUGUAAUACAUUGUAUGGUGGUGUCUAUGAGACCUAGUGCUUAAUAUCCGCGCAGCUAAGGAUCGUGUCCAGAUUGGAGACUUUAAUUGGCUCUCCAAUGUAGAGUUCGAGUAACUAGAAUCUAAGGGAAUAUUCGAGUCAUGAGUCAAAUGCAGCGAAGAUGUUCCUUUGGUUACAGGUACUCCGGUCGUAGCUGAUGGUGUUGUAGGUGUGCACCUCGGAUAUUAUGACCGAAGCUCGCCGCGACCGUCAUAAUUGCGGGACCAUGGGCAUCCUCUGUUUUAUGGGUUUUGUUUCUGGCUUGUGACGCCUGUGUCACUUGUUAUUGUAUAUAGUCAUUUAUGUUAUGUAUUUAAUAUGAAAAAAGACUUAAAUAGAUAGAUUUAAUAUUGGCUCUUGAUUAUGAUUAAUUUAUGAUAGAUGUUUAAGA